rnacentral:miRNA from 1 species
ACUUUAGUAUAAAUCUUCCCAAGCAAUAUUUGGGACAAACUUAUGCUAAAA